ACCCUUUCGACUCAGUAGUAGAGUAAUUCCAUGGUAAGGCGUAAGUCAUCAGUUCAAGUCCGGUAAAGGGCU
rnacentral:tRNA from 1 species